CUGGGGCUCUUUUUAUUUUUAAAGACCUUUUUCGAAGGUCCGCUUAAGAGGGGCUUGCGACAAGAGAAGCUUAGGGUAAAAGCCUACCAAGACUAUGAUGAGAGAGGGGGCUGGAGAAGGUCGAACAGCCACAUUGGGACUGAGACACGGCCCAAACUCCUACGGGAGGCAGCAUUCCCUGAAUAAAAAAGAAAUGGAGGAAACUCUGACCGAGCAACGCCGCGUGAACGAUGAAGUAUUUCGGUAUGUAAAGUUCUUUUAUUGAAGAAGAAAAAAUAGUGGAAAAACUAUAUUGACGCUAUUCAAUGAAUAAGCCCCGGCAAACUAUGUGCCAGCAGCCGCGGUAAUACAUAGGGGGCAAGCGUUAUCCGGAAUUAUUGGGCGUAAAGGGUGCGUAGGCGGUUUAAUAUUUUUUUUUUUUUUAAUUUUCAGUGCUUAACCCUGUCCUGCUAUGGAAACCCCCCCCACUCCCCCCGAGAUAGAGGUAAGCGGAAUUCCAUGUGUAGCGGUAAAAUGCGUAAAUAUAUGGGAGGAACCCCACAGGCGUACGCGGCUUACUUGGGUCUUUUAUGACCCUGAGGCCGUAAAACGGGGGAAGCAAAC
rnacentral:rRNA from 1 species